rnacentral:tRNA from 1 species
GGGCCUGUAGCUCAGUUGGUUAGAGCGCACCCCUGAUAAGGGUGAGGUCGAAGGUUCGAGUCCUUCUAGGCCCA